rnacentral:tRNA from 1 species
AAUUACUUAGUAUAUUUAGUACACCUGGCCUCCAACUUGGAAGAUUUAAUUUUAAAAGUAAUUA